AGCGGGUUAAUAAUUUAAACCGGGUUUCAAAUUUCUGGAAUUUUUCCUUGUGUACUUAGCGGGAGAGGGGAGUAUUAUUUUUUCUUAAAGCCGAAUGAAAAUCCCACUUCCAAAACCGAUUGACUCCGAUUUCGCAGCUCCAAGUUUGGCACAGUCUCCCGCAGUCACCGAAAUGGGGUGGCUAGAAUCUGCUCAUUCCGGAUCGAGCGCUUCUCUCUUUUUCCUGGGACACUUGAACAAAAUUGACCUCCUCCAAGCGGACUGAUUCGAUGUCCCUGAGCAGCCCAAAUAAUUUUUUUGUGGGGGCGGGAGGACAAUCCUCUGUGCUCCCCCUCUCUCCGGGAUUCAAUGCUGCGAAUCCCAGCCCCAGGUGCGAAGAGAAGCAGAAGAAGCGGGACGAUUAUAGAAAUGGGAGACAACCUUUAUAUUUCUUCGGCAAGUUACCUUUUCCAAAAAGAAGUGACGUUCCCUUUUAGAGGCUCGGAGCCCCAUCCGAAAAGAAAGUCAGCCAAUUCGCCCUUCUGAGACAGGCGCCUCUGGAGCCCUACAAAGACCCCGAGAGACUUCCAACUUGAAGCGGCUUCGCCAGCUGGGAGAAGAACACAUCUGGAAAUAGCCACGUUGAGGAUAUUGGGUGGGGGGGGGAGAAGGAAACGAACAAAGUGAAGCCAAUCACUUUAGCCCCAAGGAGUCCCUUCCCCAGAAUAUUUGGAAGAAUUGCAAAAAAAAAAAAAUGCUUUUAAAAGAUUUCAACUUUUUCUGACGUUUUUAUUCAUUCAGGAAGACGGCGCCUGGAAGUUCGGUGUGCCUACUACCCCCUGUCCCGAUCUAUUGGAUCCGAUCUAAUUCGCUGAGCUGGACGACCUAUAGAGAGGUGGCUCCUUUGGCUGUUGUGGAGAUGCGGUGCGAAAAGGCCUAGGAGCUCUGAUCGGGAUUGGUGGGGCCGGGGGAGGGAGGGCAGGUGGGUGCUCAGCGAUCCAGGAUGGGGGUGGCGGUCUCGGAAGACUCGCUCCGCAGCUGCUUGGACGCCUCGAGGUGGCUUUUCCAAAGGAACAGUGCAGAGGGUCGGCUUUUAGCUCAACCUGUUCAGGGAAUCCAGGCCGAAGUCCUCGACAGUUGCAGCAAGGGACGGACUGAGGUUUCCAGGUAAACAGGCCUUGGAUUGCAGGCUGGGAUAAUUCGGAUUGAUUUCCAAGGAACUGUCCCCAGGAUCUAGCUUCCAAGAAUUCUUGUUGGCACUGGGCUCUUAACCAGAAAGCCUUGGCCGAACCUAAAACGGAAUUACAAUAGGAAUCAAGUUGCAUUUGGGCUGGCUCCACAGAUGCAAAGAAUUCCAUCUUUUCAUCAGACAGUCUCAGUUUUGCCAGAAUGAAUUUAAAAGCAUGGAGUUAAACCCUGACUAAAGAAUCAGUCCUCUUGACCAGUCCUCUUGACUUUCGUUCAAGGAAAAGAAAAAGCAAAUUGAACUUGAAGCUUCGUCACCAUUUCCUCAGCUGCUGAGAAUAGUCACAAUGCAAGAAAGGAAAUAAAGUGAAGGUCAGUGGCAGAAACCUUGCAAAAAUAAUCCCCUGGACAAAACCACUUUUUUCUUUCUUCCCCAUAAAUGACUGUCUUGACAAUGUCCUUCCAGAAAAUUUAGUUGCUUCACGGGCAGCAAUACUUCGAAUUGGAAUCGCUCAGGAUGCCACACCAGAAACUGGUAAUUGUAACCCUUUCCUCUUCUAAAUAGUUACAGACCCCCUGUUCCAUAUGCUCAGCAUUUUUUUUUUGGGUGGGUGGGUGGCAAUCAGCAGUUGACACCAUAUUAAACAAAAAAGACAGACUCUAAAUCGAGUAAUAAAAAUAUUACAAUUUCCAAACUUGAUAUUUUGGGCCUAACAGCAAGACCAAAAUUAGAAAAUUUGUUACAUGUAUAAAACAGGAUGAGAUGUGGAUAAAUUCUGAACAGCUUUCUUUAGUGCAAAACUAAAGCUGUCCCUUGUAUAUGGAACAAAAAUACAGAGAUUUAGUGAAUCUGCAAUAAAAAUGGGAAUCAGGAUAACUUAGGCUUCAGAGAUUCAGCAACCUAGCUGAAAGUUAAGUCAACACCAUGUUUCCUGGUAGCAGGAAAGCUUUAGAAACAAGGAGCAUGCUUGUGAUAUACACAUAGUGAAGAAUAUUAAUCAAGGAAUGGAACCAUUUUUCCUUGUCGAGGAAGAUACGGUUUUAUUAGACAACUGAUUACAAAACGUAAUUCUGAAUGAAUCAAACUUGAGCUCCAGCUGUACUUCAAGUUCAGCUUGUUGGCAGAGUUUCACUAGCAGCUUUUGCAGUAUAGCUAGAAAAGCCAAUUAUAUUUAGCAUGCUUGGUGAAGCUAUUUUAGCUAUUUUUAACUACAGGAAGAAUUGGGAAUGUCUAAACUUUUUUUUUGCGGUUUUGAUCAAGAUGUAUUAUUUUAUUUUCGACAUAUUUUAUUUGGGACAUUGCUAAUAGUUGGUUUCCACUGAAAUAUUUCUGCUGAAUAAAGCUUCUAUGCUGAGCAGCACACGAGCACAGGAUCGUUUCCUAUAACUGAGAGCCAUAUGCACAUACACACACACACACACACACACACACACACACACACACACACACACAUGUAAUGUACAAUAUAUAUACACACACACAAAUAUAUACAUAUAAAUAUGUAAUGUAUAUGUACACACACACACACACACACACACACUGCCACUGUUGUGAAAGUUUUGUUCAUUAGGACUUUCCAGUUCUCGCUCCCUUUUUUAACAAGUAUCCAUUUUAUUUUACAACUUAGCAUUUAUUUAUAAUAUUCACAUUUUGUAUUGCCAACAAAGACCCCAUCAAUUAAAAAAAAACCUUAUAAAAAUUAUAACUUAUAACCAACAUUACAACAUUACAACUUAACUCGAGCACCUAUAUUAAGCAACAAUAUUUCAACUCUUUAAAAGCCAGGUAAUAACAUUUUGAUUAAGGGGUCUGUGGAAGAGCCAUUUCCGUGGCCCUCCUGAAUACCAUCAGGGAAGGCACCAUUCAAAAUCUACAAGGUAAAGAUAGCAUGUACAUCCUCCUCCAAAAUAUGAUGCUCCUGAUCUCAUAUGGUAAGUGGUA